rnacentral:snRNA from 1 species
AGCUUUGCGCAGUGGCAGUAUCGUAGCCAAUGAGGUUUAUUCCAGGCGCAAUUAUUGCUAAUUGAAAAAAACUGUGCAAGAAGGGCUCCUCCUCAGCACGUUUAGUAAUGAACUUUCCACCAGUAA